rnacentral:rRNA from 1 species
UACGUAGGGGGCAAGCGUUGUCCGGAAUCAUUGGGCGUAAAGCGCGUGUAGGCGGGUCGGUAAGUCCGCUCUGAAAGCCCGGGGCUCAACCCCGGGAGGCGGGUGGAUACUGUCGACCUCGAGUCCGGAAGAGGCGAGUGGAAUUCCUGGUGUAGCGGUGAAAUGCGCAGAUAUCAAGAGGAACACCAGUGGCGAAGGCGAGUCCCUGGACAAUACCUGACACUGAGGCACGAAAGCCAAGGGAGCAAACAGG